rnacentral:rRNA from 1 species
UUUGACGUUACCUACAGAAGAAGACACCGGCUAACUCCGUGCCAGCAGCCGCGGUAAUACGGAGGGUGCGAGCGUUAAUCGGAAUUACUGGGCGUAAAGACGCAUGCAGGCGGCCUGUUAAGUCAGAUGUGAAAGACCCGGGGCGUUAACCUCGGAAUUGCAUUUGAAACUAGGCAGGCUAGAGUCUUGUAGAGGGGGGUAGGAAGUUUCAGGUGUAGCGGUGAAAUAGCGUAGAGAUCUGAAGGAAUACCAGUGGCGAAGGCGGCCCCCUCGGACAAAGACUGACGCUCAGAUGCGAAAGCGUGGGGAGCAAACAGGAUUAGAUACCCUGGUAG